CGACGCUUCACUCUUGUGUCGCUCAUCAUAACAAGCAAAUUGACAUCAGCUGUAACUGCGACAUGGCGGGAGCAGGCGACGCUAACGGAGGCGGCGCAGUUCAGCCAAAUGCGCAUGCGCAUCCCAAAAAAUACGAGAAAAAGCCAAGCAGAGCGUUUUGGACCCAGCUGACACAGACUA